UUCUGCGGUACGUGCUGAAUGGUGUCCGUGUGGGGCCAGGUGCAGCCUAUGACUUAAUUUUCCACAGCUGAAGACACAAGACGGCAAAGUCUUAGAUCUUACUCCUGAGAGCAGACAGCAAAGAGGGUACCAGGGAACCUAGACUCAUCCUUGAAUCUUCUGCUCAGAAGUUAAUGGAACCAAUCAAUACCUGUUCUUUUUAGGAGCAGGAAGCUAGGAAACACAGCCAGGGCCUGGCAGCACAGGAGGAGGAAGCCAGAACCAUGCAUCUCCUGCCGCCUGGCGAGUGGCCACUCCUCGGGCUCAGCCUGUCAUGUUCUGGUAAGAAGUUUACACAAGUCCAGGAUAAAAUGGAAUUGCUUUAAAAAUAGGCAGAGAACACCGCCCAAACCCAACUGUAGGCCUUUUCACAACCAAGAAUUCACCAUGCAGGCAGUCUUCCCACCUCUCGGCCCGAGGGCGCCUGCCUCUCCCCUUGGCUCACUCCUUUGCCUCCUGACUUUUUUUUCAGCCUAGAGCAUGUUCAAUCUGCCAACUCGCUAUAACUAGGGGAGGAAAGAAACCCACCUCUUGCAGGUUAUCUGAAAGACAAACCACACCCCCACUAUUAUAAAUCCAAAACUCUUGUGUACCUGUUUUCCCUAGAUGCACACCAACGACUAAUUGAUAAGCCAGCCACAGUAAGAGGUUAACAAGUACAAAUAGAAGAGUUCUAACAGUAUGUGGUUAUGUGGUAACAGAAGUUACUGUGGUCUCCCUCUCAAAAUCUCUUACUGUAUUUUCAGACUGCUUGACCAUAACUACAACCUUGGGAAGCAAACAGAGCUCACUGUACUUUCAAAAGAGCAACACUGAGACGAACAAUUGGCUCCUCAAAAGAGGGAGAUCAGAGGACAACAGAACAUGCAGCUGGAAUUCCAUAUGCAAUGAAAAAUAUCCUUCAAAAACACAAGCAGAUUCUUCAAGUAGAGAAAAAAUGAAAUAAAAGGGUAAAUACAAAUUUACCAAUGAAUAACUCAGUACAAAAAUGAUUAUGGGCCCUCCCUGGUGGCGCGCACAGCGCUAUGAAGGUGUCUGCAGAAUGACACACAGCUGCAGCAGAUCUGUCUCGCCCGCUGCACCCCAGUUCUUGUAUGCAUAAAUAAAAAAAUCUUAAAAAUGAUACAGUGGUAAGUCAAUAAUUACAACCUACAUCCUUAUCUUAGAAUCUCUGGGGUCACUAGCUGUAAAACAGUUAGAGGGUCAUAAAAAAGGAAAACUAUCAAGUAGAUCAAAUAGGAACCAAGUGGUAUCAUAGUGCUUAUACCAUCUGAACUAUGAAGACAAAGUGUAGAGGGUAGACGACAUACAACAAUGAAAAGACAGCUGCUAUAGUUAGACAUGUCAUGAUAGAAAAAGCAUGACGCUGUUCUAGAUUAUAGUAGACCAAAGCCCUGAGAACUAAACAUGGAUAACAACUCUUAAUUUGUGUACACCAAAUUACACAGCUACAAGGUAAGACUACAAUCAUAGUAGACUUGAACACACCUCUGUCAGAGGCUGAUGGCCUAAUCAUUAAUUGUGGUAAGAGUUUAACGUAACGUCAAUCUCAACAUAUUUCAGAGAAGGUCAGGUUAAAGCUUAGUAGAGGGGAAAGUACCUGAUUCAGCCAGAGGGAGUCCUUUCGGCACUGCCUUCUUCUGUACAAGAGGUUACAAGCUAAUGUAUGACAAUUUAGGCAUCAAAACAAGUACAGUAAGAGACUGGAGAAGAAUGAGCAUGAGUCUGAGUGAGUGAGAAAGAAAAGGUCUGCCCCAGAGUGGCCAAACUUACCAAGGACUCAAAAGAAACAUAAUCAUCCUAACAACAUACACCUGGACACCAUGAAUUGGUCUUAAAGAGUGGGCCCUGUAACAGAAUUUCCAUU